CACGCGGUGUCUUCGGCUCCUCGUUACGGAGGAGCCUUGCUUUUGGAUGCUCUUGGAUGCCUCGGCUGGUCCCCGACAGCUCUCUCCUCUCUCCCGCCGUGUCCAUUCCUGGCUCCCAGCUACGAGCUGGCCCUGCAGAGCAUCUGCAGCCCUGUCAGCAUCAGCAUCCAGCAGCGGCAGGAGGAGCUCCCCGUGAGCAGCAUCUGCCCGUCCCUCCCCCGGCGUCUCAUUGGUCAGCGGCAGCUCUGUCCGUCCCCCGGACUCUAAUUGGUCAGAGGCAUCUCUGUCAGGUGGAGGUGGAUUUGUGAUUAGCCAUUGCUUCUUUGUAGUCUGAAUGGUUGCUGGUAACCAGCAGAAAGACCUCAGCUGGAGCCUGGGACUGCAACACGGAGGGUGCUCAAGAAACAAAAGAAGGGAGUUAUUCUUCACUGAGUGAGGGCUACAACAGCACAGACUCUGAGAAUGAAUCCAACGCAUCCCAGAGGAGGAAGGGGUUAUCACCAGGCCAGGCUGUGUCCCCAGUGCAGGCUGUAUUGCGGCUGCUCGGAGGAGACGUCACCUCGCCAGGACCCGAGCUGAUUAUCUUCCCUUGGAUGCUUCAAAUGAUCGUCAGCUUUCUCGGAGAAGAGAAGGCGGUGAUUCAGAGGAUGAGGACGAGCCUGAUAGGAAUCGUCUCCAUUUUGUUCCUAAAAAGAGAACUCUUAGGCGUAGGAUGGCUGAACGCGUGGGUGAGUUGGUGCCUUUUCUCCCAGAGAGAGGCUGUGUCUUUUACUGAUGGAUGUCCGGAAGAAUGUGAGACUUGCCCAGUGAAGAGUGCAGUACAAAGUUGUGCUCUUGGUCUUGACAAAAGACCAUAAUGCUUGGUGGUCCUUGAGGUUUACGUGGGAUGUUCCUGCUCUCCACACACUGACAUUACGACUGUUAUGGGAAAGAGGUAAAAACAAACCAACAAACAAAAAGCAACCAACCAGAGCCAGCCAGCCCUUUGGAAGUAAGCAGACUUACUGCAUGCCAAGCGUAUGUGGCUUUUCGGUUGCUCCUUAACUCAUCUUGCUGUUUGCAGUUUCACUUACAAAGCACUGGUUUGCCAGGCUUGUAGGCCAAUUGCUUUAUUAUUUGGAUAAUAGUUGUAAGUAAUAUGCAGGUAUGGUCCGACUCUAUUGUUGGAGUAAAUGGUAUAGAGAAACUUCUGUGUCUGUAGUAGAUUGUGCAUUGUAGAGCACUUAAGGAUCUUCCGUGUCUGAUGUCCCCACGUUGUAGUCUGUUUUUGAAGUCUCACGUGAUAUACGGGUUUGCUUUGAGACAUUUGAUCUUUGUUCUUCUGGUACUGCAGUCAUCUGAGGAACUGUUGGGUAAACGAAGAUGGAUUCUGCAAAAUCUGGUUGCCACUCCUACAUCUUCUGAUUUGGACGUGGUCCUUGUGUACAGGCUUUUCGUCUGCUGUCAUCUGUUUCUAUCACUUGUAAUGGCUGUGGGAAGCGGUACUGUUUUUGAAGGAGGAGGUUGGGUAGGGAGUAGGGAAAUAAGCAAAGGGCGUAAUGAGGUGUGCUAACGACUGAUGUAAGUUGUAGUGCCUGUGAGCGAUGGAUCAAGUGAAGAUGAGGCAGAAGCAAAGAGGGAAGAACAGCAAAUUAAGAAAGUUGUUGCACUCCCUCAAGUGAUAUGUGCUUUCCUAACUGUUGAAAUCUGCCUUUUGCUCAUAGGUAAGAGAGAGAUUAUUUUAUUCUUUUUCCCGGUAAAUAAUUGGCAGGAAUGUUUUCUCUGAUGUUGUGUUGUUUUUGGCUUGAAUCUUCUGUUCUAUAUCAGACUAGGAAAACCUGAGUUACCAAUUCUUCAUGUCAGAAGGGAAAGGUGCAGAAGUUGCUGCCUGCUGCAUGGCAGUAGUUCGAGGAUUGGGAAGAUUGCUGCUGAAUUUCACAUCCAGUAUAACUGGUGUUCUUAGGUCCUCAUACUCCAUUUGUUUCUGGAAACCCCUCAGUUUUUGCUGUCCAGAAGAUUGCAGAAGUUUUUAGCAGCAGACCUCGGUCAUGGACUCGAUUGCUCCAAGUCACUGUGUUAGGGUUAGAUUUUGCCCUACAGACUCCUGCUGUUUUAGAACGCAGGAUGUCAUUUAAUUU